ACGAGGUAAAUAGUUGUUUCAAUGGAGGCAGUCGCAAUUCCACACAACAUACUCAUCGGAUUCGAUUAGCUAUGCGUAUAUUUGCUAUACACACGCUUUAGAAUUUAUUCUCCUUUCAACACUGUGAACAAAUCAGAGUGUAUCAAACAUGUCGUUUUUGAAUGUGCAUUGAAUGUCUUAUCAUGGGAUGUUGCACUUUCUGCGUUAAAAAUUUAUUACUGCUUCGUGCUGUAAUUAUUUUUUUACACACACACACACACACAUACGCACAUGUUGUAUGCCACGUAAAUAAUUUUUAACGGUUAAAAAUGUCGAUGGGGAUAGUUGGAGUCAACAGUACUGCUGGGCGAGAGGUGAAAUUCAUUGACCCUAGCAAGACUACCAAAAGCGAAAGCAGUUGGCUAGGCUAUACUCUUUGUGAUUAUAUUUUAUGCACACACACGCACACAACACACACACACACACACUCAACGCACAAUGCUGGCGGUCAGUAUAUAUAUAUACACUUUACAAUGAAGAACGAAGGUUGGGGGAUCAAAGAGGAUCAGAUACCCUCGUCGUCCCAUUAAUUACAUCAAACGAUGGGCUCUCAAUUGCAUUUUUCAUUAAAUUGCAAAUUUCCUCAGCCUACAAAAUGACUUGGCUUGAGCUCGUAUUUUUAAUACGCUCGCCUAACUUUUUUCGUAUGGUCUCGAUGGACGUUUCAUUAAAAUUUUUUUGCGUGUAAGCAUUUGUUAUUCUUUGAAACAUAAGAAUGCAUUGCGUGCACUUGAUUUUCGGAGCUUUGCGCUCAAUUCUGGUGAGAUGUAAGCACUAUGUCAUACUGCCCGCAGCGUAUAUCUUCGGGUAUUUCGUCUGUCGUGUGUAGUUGACAAUCUUGGUGUGAAGCACGCUUUAGGCACGCGCUUACUGCAGAAAUGUCUGAGACAUUCCCCUCCGGGGGUAGUAUGCACGCAAGUGUGAAACUUGAAGGAAUUGACGGAAGGGCACCACAAGAACGCGUGGAGCAUGUGGCUUAAUUUGACUCAACGCGGGAAAUCUUACCGGGUCCGGACACACUGAGGAUUGACAGGCAAUAUUAGCUUUACACUUCGCUUUCGGGCAAAGUUGUUAUGUUAAAUAUGCUAGUCCUUUCAUGAUUAUGUGAUAGGUGGUGCAUGGCCGUUCUUAGUUCGUGGAGUGAUCUGUCUGCUUAAUUGCGUUUCACCAAGGGCCUAUAAUUUUACGUGUGUUGCGGCACUUUGACCCCUCUUUUUUUAAAGAGCGCGUGUCUUGGUUUGCUUAGCUCGCACAAUUAGGUCCUGAAAGCAACGAACGUGACCGCAACCUCUUGUUGCCUUUAUACCAAACGUGCAUAUGUAAUUUUUUCUGCUUUGCGCGCAAAAAGGCUUUUUAAACUAGAGGGACCGCUGUUACUUUCUUAAACCAGAGGAAGGUUGCGGCAAUAACAGGUCUGUGAUGCCCUUAGAUGUUCCGGGCUGCACACGUGCUACAAUGAUUAUUGCAGUGAGCAUCUCAUUUUUUACACACCGCAUACGCGAGACCAUUUAUUCACCUUCGGGUGCUUUAAAUGUGUUUUCGUUCUCUUUGCGAGCGGUAAAGCCUGCUUCGAAAGUAAGUGGGUAAUCAAUUAGAAGUAAUGAUUUCCUUUUUUUAGCACACAUAUAUACGGCGUCUAUUCCCGCCGGGUUACCUUGUUGUAGCUUUUGUGCGUAUAGAUGUUUUUUCCGUAUGUGCGAUUGUCAAUUCAUGGUGGGGACAGACCAUUGUUAAUUGUUGGUCUCGGUCUUAACUAGGAAUGCCUUGUACGGGUCUUUGGUUCAACAAACCACCCGGAAUACGUCCCUGCCCUUUGUACACACCGCCCGUCGCUCUUACCGAUGGACUUCUCUGUGAGUUUGAGGGACAACGCGAAGUUAUUUAUAACAUACGCACCUGCCUAUGGAAACUUAAACGAACAGUGUGGUCUAAAGGAAAGAGAAGUCGUAAC
rnacentral:rRNA from 1 species